rnacentral:rRNA from 1 species
GUAGGUGGCAAGCGUUGUCCGGAAUUAUUGGGCGUAAAGCGCGCGCAGGCGGUCCUUUAAGUCUGAUGUGAAAGCCCACGGCUCAACCGUGGAGGGUCAUUGGAAACUGGGGGACUUGAGUACAGAAGAGGAAAGCGGAAUUCCAAGUGUAGCGGUGAAAUGCGUAGAGAUUUGGAGGAACACCAGUGGCGAAGGCGGCUUUCUGGUCUGUAACUGACGCUGAGGCGCGAAAGCGUGGGGAGCAAACAGGGAUUAGAUACCCUGGUAGUCCACGCCGUAAACGAUGAGUGCUAAGUGUUAGGGGGGUUUCCCGCCCCCUUAGUGCUGCAGCUAACGCAUUAAGCACUCCGCCUGGGGAGUACGGCCGCAAGGCUG